UGGAAAGAAAAACAAGUUGGCGUCGGGAAUGAUGCCUUUGGCGUCGAAACGAGGAAGACGAAGCUACCAAGAAAUCCCUCCUUCUUUGAUCAUCUCCUAUUCACUCUUCGAAUCUUCGUUUCCCCUUCGAUUUCUCAUCCAUUCUGUUCCUCUAUCUAAUCACUUUCUCGAUUUAUUUAUGUACAUAUUUGUGUGUAGAAAUGCCUAUGAUCCGAUACGAGAUGAAACUCCGCUUUUUUCUGGUUUCGUUGUUUGAUUUAUUUUUGUUGUACGAUUCCGCGCUUGCUUCUCCCAACUCUCCAUGGGGACUCAAUCGUUACGGCGCUGCUUUCCAAGCUGCCGGCCGCCGUGUUUUGAUGUCCGAUGCUACCAAAGUGCCUGAUACUGCAUUAGUGGCUGCCUUGGAUGGUACUCCACUAUUUAUCUAUUGGAUGUUGGUUCCCUGAAACCACUUUGGUCAUUUUCGUCAGGCCCAAAAAUUUACUCAUCAUAUCAGGCUCCUGUUAAUGAUAAGGAAAAUGCAUCUGGAAUUGAAAGUAAUUACUUUAUUGAUUGUGGAGAUGAUUGGGAAUUAUACGCUCACAACAGCCUUGGCAAACUGGUAUUUAUCUAUUUUUCCACAUUCUUCAUACCUAUUCAUUAGAAUAACUGGAACUUUGAUGCAUUACUUUGGUGCAAGGUUAAACAUACUCCCUCCGUCCCGAGCUACUCGCUCAUUUCCUUUUCGGCACGGAGAUUAAGGAAUGAGUGUAUAGGAAAGUCAAAAAUGACGGCUAUAGGUGAAAAUUUUUACUAAAAAUAGAAAGAGUGCAAGUAACUUGGGACGCCCAAAAAGGAAAUACGUGCGAGUAGUGCGGGACGGAGGGAGUACUACUUAGUGCUGUCAGUGAACUGAGCCCAGUUGAACAGUGAAUAACUCAAAAACAGUUCCUUUCAGUUUGACAACCAAGCUAGAGCUUGUUCAUUUUAAAUAUAUUUAGCUUGCUAGACAUUGAGCUUGAUUCAGUGUUGUUAAUUUGGCAUUCGGGUCGCUCGGGUCGCCCGGGUCGAGACCAGCACCUCCCCAACAUGGGUGGGUUGAUCGAGAUGCAUGGGUCGCGCUGGGUCGCGCUGGGUCGGCGGGGUCGAGCGUUUCGGGUGGGUCGCCCUAACGGCUAAUACAUGCUUCACAGUUAACAUUUUAAGGUCAUUACUUGAAUCCGGCAGUCUUUUAUAAAGAUGUGAAAGGUAUUUUGGCUUGUUCAGAGGUUAUCGAAGGCUUGCACGAGUGUAUUCUAAAACUGGUUCCCGACAUAAAUAUGCAAGAUCAGAUCAUGAAAAAGGAAACGGCUUUGUAUCGGGACGUUGUUUCCUGUUUCGGAAAUCCUUUAGCUAUUCGACAUAGAAAUCAAAUGGCACCAGCUGAAUGGUGGAAACAUUAUGGGUCUAAGGCACCAAAUUUGCAAAACUUUGCAAUUCGAGUCUUGAGCCUAACUUGUAGUGCUACUGGCUGUGAGAGGAAUUGGAGUACUUUUCAACAUAUUCAUAGCAAAAAGAGGAAUCGUUUGGCACAAGAACGAUUAAACAACUUAGUAUUUGUGAAGUACAACAGAGAUCUUGAGCGAAGAUUCAACAUACAAAACGUCACUGAUCCUAUACUCCUAAGUGACAUUGAUGAUAGUAAUGAAUGGUUAAUGGGUAG